GCGGCGCCCAGGCCUCCGGGCUCUGGGCCUGGCCCGCGGGAUGCGAGCCCAGACCUGGGGCUGAUGGUGAUUGGAAGAGGACUGCCACAAGGAUCUGGAAAGCAGAGUUUUGCCGUGAAAAGCAAAGAUCCUUUACCUACACAUUUUACAAGAAAUGUACAGAAAGCCAUUGAUAAAUAUACCUGUGAAUCCGCGUCAUCAUUUUCAUCAAGUGGAAGCCCCACGCCCACAGAAGCUCCCAACUCCUGGUCUGGGUCUGGGACACAGAGGUCAACCACAGGCUUAUCAACCGAGAGGAGCUCCAUUUACUCUUGGAGAGAUGAUGAGUUUGACAAAGCCAAUGCACAGAAAGUACAGCAGUUAUUCUGGGAGGUCGAGGAAAUGUUAUUUGAAGGGAAAGUAAGCCCUCAGACCCAGAAUCUACAGGCUGAAUGCAGUGAGUGGGCAAGAAGGUCCCUCCAUCUGAGAGUAUUAGGAAGACAGCUCAUCCUGCCCACGGAUGAAGGGGUCCAGCAUUUCCAGGGCAGCAAACCUGCUUCUGCCGUCCGCAGACCCUUCUCUGACGACUGUGAACCCAGCAGCAACAUCAGAGAGCUUUGCAUCGCCGGCUCUCAAAUAGUUCCGGCCACACUCUCAGCCCUCACCCUGCCAGGUCCUGUUGGCACAGGGCUUGUGGACCUCACGGCAUGUUCAUCCCUGGAAGAAGAGGUUUAUGAUGUGGAUGGAAAGAUUGAAGAGUAUUUCGCUUUUGACAGAAAAGAAGAUGACGAGGACUGUCUUGAACAAGACCCAGCUCAUCACCACAGGACGCGGCAUAAGCAUGGACUUCCUCCUGUAUCCCCGCAUGACUGUGUCAGAGACGCGGCGGCUGCAGAAGUGUUUGAUCACGUCUGGACAACUGUGGUGGAAAUGCUGGAAAAGCUGAUUAGAAAAAACUGGGAAAUUACACUCACAGACGGAAAAAAACAGAAAGAAAAAUUGAAAGUAGCUGAGAAUAAAUCUCCACCUAUGUUCAUUUCCCGUAUUAAUGCUGAUGUGUCCAGUGUUCCCCCAUCCAGAAGUUCUGCAACUCGAAGUGUGUCCCUGGCUUCUCAUCUUAACCCACCUCAGAUUCACCGCUUCUCCAAUAAUUUUUAUAGUGACUUGAAUGGUGUGAUGACAAUUCAAGCAAAACCACUUCAGCAGAGACCUACCUAUUUUUCAGAUAGAACACAGAGUGCACAAGAGGAGAAAUCACUGGGUGGAGGGGCCGGUGCUCUUUCCCCGGCCCAGCACCGUCUGGCACGGAUCUUGGAUGCUCGCGGACUACAGACCUCUGCAAAGAAAACACCGGCAUACGGGAGGCUGCCUUCCCUUACCUCAGAGUCACAGAGAAGAAAAAUCCCCGGUGUGUACAGUGACGAAGUUCUUAGGGGAACAAAACUGCAAACUGGCGUGGACCGCACGGCCUCCCCACCAGUUCAGACCUCAAGGAGCAGGUUGCCACCAAUAGGCCCAGAGACUGGGAAGCAGAAUACGGCAGUUCCCGGAUCACGCCCUGUGUCUUUCAGAGGAAGGCAUCCGCAAAACCAUGUGUUAAAUAAGCACAGUACCUGUCCGUGUAGAAAGAUCACCCGUUCAAGAAAGAUCUCUGGCCAUGGAACAGUUUUCAAGCCCAGCACAACCCAUACAUUUCGGUCAAAUACGCCUCGAAAAGGUUCAUUGACACUGAGGAAAUUUGCUGGUCACACGUGGACAGGUCAAGGUUUUUUGACAGGUCAGUGUUCUCCAUAUACAAAUAAAAUGAUGUAAUACGUGAAGUUUCAAGUUUUGGAAAGAGAAAUUGGAGAUUAUCGACCUUGAGAGGACAGUUUUGACCAAGAGUUUGUCAUCUAUGGCUAUAUCUCAGGAAUCUCCAUAAAGAGCAAAACUGCGAAGACAAGCACUUCUCUGCUGUUGGUUAAAAAACAAAAAGUAACUGAGUAAAUCUGAAGAUCGAAGUGGUUUUGGUAAACGAUUCAUGAUUCAAUUGGGCAGCAUCUCAUGUGGCAAACAGAGAGAUAUUCUGAGGCGUUGCAGGGCAUGGAAGGCUUUUAUAAAAGGAAGGCAGGACAAGUAAAGGAGAUCACCAGCAAGGAAAAAAGGAAAGUUCAUUGGAGGAGAGUAAAAGUUCAAGUGAUGAUAGCUUGUCUUUGGCUGAGCUGCUGGGUUUUGCAUUGGCUGGGCUUGUUGCUGGUCAAGGGGGACGUCUUCCUCCCUCCUGCCGCGGCAGGAGUGUAGCUGCGCUUCCCGUCUGGGAGAGCAAGGCACUCUCUUCCCCUUGGGGUCGGUCAGUUACUCAUGUCUUCCUGGUGGGGUAACUGAAGGUGAGCACUGGGUAGGGCAUGAGAGGUCCCACUGUUGGCCUUCCGACCCCAACUUUGGCUGAGGUUUCCUUUUAUUAAUUUGCACAAUCUUAGAGGAGAAAAUGCCCAAAGUUUCCUAAUAAUUUAGAGCCUCACCCUCAUAAAAAAGAAAAUGCUGUCUUGAGUCUUAUGAGAAAUCAAUGUCUCUCUCUGCUGUAGAGUUUCCAUGCUUUUCUUCUGCAUGAAACUCUAUUUUUAGAUUCUCUUUGAAGAUCUCAUUAUAAAAAUGCUUCACAAAAUUAAUACAAAUCUUCUAGUUGUUUUAUGAUGUAGAGUUUUACAGAUAAAUACUUAUUCUCAAGUAGUAUGCCACUUAAAGAAGGACGUUUCUAGACUGAAUUCAGGCCUAUGAUGUUUCAAUUUUCACAACCGUUACCAACAUUUUUGUUCAAGGAGGCAACGUAGCAUCGUGAAGAGGUGUGUGCCACCCUGGAGUCAAACGCCUCGUUUCCAUCCUGACUCGAGCACCUACUAGCUGAGCACUUUAGGAGAGCCUCAACUGCUCCGGGCCUCAGUUCUUUUAUAACAGACUAGAUGGAGAAAACAGUUAUUGGAAAAAUGUAUGGAAAGGACCUAGCUAGAUGCCAAGCAUACACUGUUUGCUCAAAAAAUAUGAAUCAUUUGUAUUAUAGAUAAUCUCAAAUGUAGAGGAUAAUUUGCUGUUUUAAGGGAAAUACUUGAUAUAUUAUCACUUUAAAAUAAAUCUAGUAUAAUUCAAGCACUGGGACAACUCAGGUUUAUUACUGUUUAUGUCAGCCCUUCUCUAGUUCUGUAGCAUAGUGAUGUCGAAAUUUCUUUAUUCUUUUGAGAUUCUUCUCCUAUGCUCAUAGCUCUAAGCUGCUGUGUCUUUUUGUUGCUUUUUGCCGUGUGCAUUCCCCAGGAGUAUUCACUGUCAUUUUCAAUGACAAUAGUUCUUUCUGUAAAAGGCACCAUGGUAUGUGAGAGACCGAACAGUGACGGUUGAUAAAUAUGAUUCUGCCGAUGGCCGGUAGACAGUGGUGCUGAGGAGUUUUGAUGAAUUCAGUUUCUGAGUUGUUGACUGCAGCGUGCUAAGCGGAGAUGCCGAAUAGUUUGUUGGACGCACAGGAGUAGAGGUUAGGAGAGGAAACUGGGCUCUGAAUUUGUUUAAAAUCUGCACUCUUAAUUUUUCACCAAAUACUAAGGCACUGUAUUCUCUUAUCAAUAACUUUGUGACAACUAUCAUUAUUGCUGGUUGGAGGCCUUUUUCAUGUCUGUAGAAGUGAUUGAGUGUAUGUAAGAGAGAUGUUCCUGUAUUUCUAAAGAUUUAUUUUCUUCUUCUCUGACAAGCAGGCUUGUGGUCUCUUGCUUACCUUUGCUUCCAGGUCCAAAAGCGCAGGGGCUAUUAACUUAUCAACAUUAUUUCUGUAGCAGAAAAAAAAAAAAAGAAGAAGAAGAAGAAAGGAGAAGCUGAGGGGCCAACAGGGGGAAGGACUUCUUAAGGUAGCUGACAGUUUUCCGGGGGAGCUCAUGGCCAGGACCGAGGCCCCGCAGGGGGGGAGCACCCCUCUUUCUUCUCAGCACCCAGAAUGGCAGUUUUUCCAGACCAGAUCACUAUUUCCUGAUUUGUGUACAAGUGACAUUAAGGUUCACAAUUUCCACCUAAUUCCUUUCAGAGGACAACGUUGACUUUCAGAAAGAGAUUCCAAGUGGCGUCUUGAUGUGGCUUCACC